rnacentral:rRNA from 1 species
AACCAGGUGAUCUAGCCAUGGGCAGGUUGAAGGUUGAGUAACAUCAACUGGAGGACCGAACCGACUAAUGUUGAAAAAUUAGCGGAUGACUUGUGGCUAGGGGUGAAAGGCCAAUCAAACCUGGAGAUAGCUGGUUCUCCCCGAAAGCUAUUUAGGUAGCGCCUCGGACGAAUACUACUGGGGGUAGAGCACUGUUAAGGCUAGGGGGUCAUCCCGACUUACCAACCCUUUGCAAACUCCGAAUACCAGUAAGUACUAUCCGGGAGACACACGGCGGGUGCUAACGUCCGUCGUGGAGAGGGAAACAACCCAGACCGCCAGCUAAGGUCCCAAAUUACUACUAAGUGGGAAACGAUGUGGGAAGGCUCAGACAGCCAGGAUGUUGGCUUAGAAGCAGCCAUCAUUUAAAGAAAGCGUAAUAGCUCACUGGUCGAGUCGGCCUGCGCGGAAGAUGUAACGGGGCUAAGUA